rnacentral:rRNA from 1 species
AACGAACGCUGGCGGCAUGCCUAACACAUGCAAGUCGAACGAGACCUUCGGGUCUAGUGGCGCACGGGUGCGUAACGCGUGGGAAUCUGCCCUUGGGUUCGGGAUAACAGUUGGAAACGACUGCUAAUACCGGAUGAUGUCUUCGGACCAAAGAUUUAUCGCCCAGGGAUGAGCCCGCGUCGGAUUAGCUAGUUGGUAGGGUAAAAGCCUACCAAGGCGACGAUCCGUAGCUGGUCUGAGAGGAUGAUCAGCCACACUGGGACUGAGACACGGCCCAGACUCCGACGGGAGGCAGCAGUGGGGAAUAUUGGACAAUGGGCGAUAGCCUGAUCCAGCAAUGCCGCGUGAGUGAUGAAGGCCUUAGGGUUGUAAAGCUCUUUUACCCGGGAUGAUAAUGACAGUACCGGGAGAAUAAGCCCCGGCUAACUCCGUGCCAGCCGCCGCUGUAAUAC